GAAAAUGCUGUGAGGUGGGUGGUGAGGAGGGUAAACUGGGAAGAAGAGUUAAGUGCCUGAGGAGAAGCUGAGCAGAGGUGGAACAAGAUAGUGUCUCGUUCUGUUGCCUGGGCUGGAGUGCAGUGGCGUCAUCAUAGCUCACAGCAAUCUCAAACUCCUGGGCUCAAGUGAUUUUUCUUCCUCAGCCUCCUGACUAGCUGAAACUCUCCUGGCCUCAAGUGAUCCUCCUGCCUUGGCCUCCCAAAGUGCUGGGAUUGUAGGCAUGAGCCAUCAUGCCUGGGUUAUUAAAUAACUUUUCCACUCCCCACUAAAUGACUCACAGGGGGAGAACUGGAACUCAGAGACGAUUUAAGACAGUGCACGCCAAGCCUGCCUUCACCUCUGGCCGGUCUAAACCUGAGAGAAACUCACCGCUGUCUCCCAUGAGCCUCCAUUUACUGAAUGGGUCAGAAACUAGGGGCAGAAAGGACUGGUGUCCGAGGUGACAGCACAGAGAGAACAGAAGUCACGUGAGUGAGAGUGUGAUGCAAAUACUGUUAUCAUACGCUUCCCUGUAGGUGACAACGGAAAAGACCAGACUCCUUAGGAAUGUCCUGGGAUAAACAAUCAAAGCAGUACUGAUAUCUGAUUUUGUAUUGUAUUAAAAAAGAUGGGAGCCUUUCAUCUUUUUUAUUAACCUGGAUUGAGUUGGAAUACAUUCUUCUUAGUAAAGUAUCACAAGAAUGGAGAAGCAAGAAUCCAAUGCACUCAAUUCUAAUAUGAAGCCAGUAGACGAUCUAAUACAUACCCUCAUAAGAGAAAAACUCAAAUCAAUUCAAGGUGCAGGCAGGGGAACAAGGGAGCAGGGAGAGGGGAGAAUGGAGGGUUACAGGUGUCGGGCACACCUCUUGGGGGCAGGGCACAAUUAACUAUAAGAGGGACUUUACCUAACAAAUGCAAUCAGUGUAACCUAAUUCUUUGUACCCUCAAUGAAUCCCAAACAAUAAAAAAGAAGAUAGAUAUUGUAUAGGUGAUUUAUACAACAUACAGAUUUGAAUUUCCUCUAACAAAAUCCCAUUCCUGCACACAGAACAGCUCUUGAACACCAAAAAGGCCACACUAUCUAUCUACCCAGAUCACUUUCCAGAUCAGCUAAACUUCUAGGCUAAGUUCAAGUUUCAGACUGUGGAGUGGUGGUUGUAAAGUGCCUAAAACAAGGGGCUAUUUGUGGUGCUGUAAAGGAAGGCUGGGACCAAUAUGCACACUUGGUCCUAAGAGACGAUGACACUGUUGGAAAUGUUAGCAUAUUUCAGUGCUUUCUGAUGAUGGAGUGCUUUCUGGAAACGAUUUAAUACAACAUAUGUAUGUAUGUAUACGUUCCCCCCUCCACCUGGAAGUGUGCACCAUUCUGCGUGAACAUGUGUGUGAGGAGAAAGGGAAAGUUCAAAUACUUUUCAGCUCCGUUGUGCAGCAAUGGCUUCUCACAAGCGCAGGACUGGCAGUGGUGUGGACCUUUAACUCUCCUCCUCCUCCAACAUCAACAUAAAGUGAAAGCAAACAGGCGCUUGGAAAAUCACUCCUGUUCUUCCUGAUCACGCGCAGGAGAAAGCGGCAGAAGAUUCCUGCGUUAAGAGUUGCUGUGCUCACAGCUUUCCGCUGCAGAGCUGCCAGGAAGACGUUUCUGUUUUAUCCUUUCAGAGUAAAAACUUUGUUUUGACAGCUGGUUUUUCUGCUUAUGCUUGCUCUAAAAGGCAGAGAUGUGGAAAAGCUCUCUGAUCCAUCCUAAUUUACAUUUCUAUGAGAAAGACAACUUAGUCUUUAACUGAAAUCAGCCAUUUCCGUUUACCCCGUGUCUAUUCAUUCAUCCAAGGCAGUAACCAGCCUUCUUCAUGCCUUCAGAUUUAAAGACAGCAUCAAAAUUGUUCUCUUUGGGGGGAUUUUAUUUUGAAAAGUUAUGAGCUGCCCUCAGAGGGGGGAUUCGAUAAGGGAUCUACAUUCAGCACCCCUAUUUGUGAUUUCUUGAAAAGGAAACCAAGGCUAGGGAGAAAGACUGUAACAGUGGUUGAUGCCAACUGCUGACUUCAGUGUUUGUCCCCUUUCUUUCACACACCUGAUCCUCAAGGCCUUUGCCCGCUUAUUCCCACUGGAGUUGAUUGUUGGGUGGAUAAUGAUGUUUUGCAUGGAAGGUUUCAAAGACUAGAACUUAUGAAGAAAAAGAUUUGAUAAAUAAGAGUGUGAGCCCCUGGAGAACAGAGACUUGCCUUUUUGUUUUUUUCAUGGCUAUCUCUCUGGGCUCAGAACAAUGACUGUCACAUAAUGAAUGCUCAAUAAAUAUUUGUUGAAUAACUGGAAGGGAGAUUAUUUUGCCUUUACAGAACUAAGCUAUUCUCAAAUACUUUCAAAACUAUUUAGCACUAACUGUCACUUAUAAUUUAUUUUGAAGUUAAGAUAUUUAUUCAUUAAAUGCUAUUAGUAUGUUUAAUUACCUUUUUUGGGAAGAAGAAAGAAAAACAUUAAAAAAUGAAA